rnacentral:rRNA from 1 species
UGCCAGCAGCCGCGGUAAUACGGGGGGUGCAAGCGUUAUUCGGAAUCAUUGGGCGUAAAGGGCGCGUAGGCGGCCCCUUAAGUCAGAUGUGAAAGCCCUCAGCUUAACUGAGGAAGUGCAUUUGAAACUAAGGGGCUUGAGUAUGGGAGAGGGAAGCGGAAUUCCUGGUGUAGCGGUGAAAUGCGUAGAUAUCAGGAGGAACACCGGUGGCGAAGGCGGCUUCCUGGACCAAUACUGACGCUGAGGCGCGAAGGCGUGGGGAGCAAACAGGAUUAGAUACCCUGGUAGUCCACGCAGUAAACUGUGAACACUAGGUGUAGCGGGUAUUGACCCCUGCUGUGCCGAAGCUAACGCAUUAAGUGUUCCGCCUGGGAAGUACGGUCGCAAGGCUAAAACUCAAAUAAAUUGGCGG